GUCGAGGAUCUUGGACAAUGGGCGCAAGCCUGAUCCAGCGACGCCGCGUGGGGGAUGAAGGUCUUCGGAUUGUAAACCCCUGUCACUUGGGAAAAACGCUCCGCGCCUAACAUGCGCGGAAUUGAUGGUACCAGGAGAGGAAGGGACGGCUAACUCUGUGCCAGCAGCCGCGGUAAUACAGAGGUCCCAAGCGUUGUUCGGAUUUACUGGGCUUAAAGGGUGCGCAGGCGGUCGGAUAAGUCGGGUGUGAAAUCCCAAAGCUUAACUUUGGAACUGCGCCCGAAACUGUCUGGCUCGAGGAUUGGAGAGGAGACUGGAAUUCCAGGUGUAGCGGUGAAAUGCGUAGAUAUCUGGAGGAACACCAACGGCGAAGGCAGGUCUCUGGACAAUUCCUGACGCUCAUGCACGAAAGCCAGGGGAGCAAACGGGAUUAGAAACCCGUGUAGUCC
rnacentral:rRNA from 1 species